rnacentral:rRNA from 1 species
GACGAACGCUGGCGGCGUGCCUAAUACAUGCAAGUCGAGCGAACAGACCAGGCUUUUGUUCCUCUGACGUUUGCGGCGGAGGGGUGUGUAACACGUGUAUCACCCCCCUAUAUGACUGGGGUAACUUCGGGAAACCGGAGCUAAUACCGGAUAAUAUACUGCACCGCAUGGUUCAAUAGUGAAAGACGGCUUUGCUGUCUCUUAUAGAUGGAUCUGCGCCGCAUUAGCUAGUUGGUAGGGUAACGGCUUACCAAGGCGACGAUGCGUAGCCGACCUGAGAGGGUGAUCGGCCACACUGGAACUGAGACACGGUCCAGACUCCUACGGGAGGCAGCAGUAGGGAAUCUUCCGCAAAGGGCGAAAGUCUGACGGAGCAACGCCGCGUGAGUGAUGAAGGUCUUCGGGUCGUAAAGCUCUGUUAUUAGGGAAGAACAAAUGUGGAAGUAACUGUGCACGUCUUGACGGUACCUGAUAAGAAAGCCACGGCUAACUACGUG